rnacentral:misc_RNA from 1 species
AAAAAAAAAGAAAAAAAAAGAAAGUGCUGGAAGUUUGUUAGUACUGAUGUGAAGAAUGGACUAUAGAACGAGAGAAUAAGAGAACAAGGAGGAGAGAGAAGAAAAAAACUAAAAAAAAAAAAAAUAAAUGAACCCUGGAUCAUAGCAGGUGCUAGACUUGCUUGCAUGUUGUGCAGCGCAGGUGAAAGGAGAAGAAAAUAGAAGAAGAGAA